CCUACGGGAGGCAGCAGUGAGGAAUAUUGGUCAAUGGACGAGAGUCUGAACCAGCCAAGUAGCGUGAAGGAUGACUGCCCUAUGGGUUGUAAACUUCUUUUAUAUGGGAAUAAAAUGUUCCACGUGUGGGAUUUUGUAUGUACCAUAUGAAUAAGGAUCGGCUAACUCCGUGCCAGCAGCCGCGGUAAUACGGAGGAUCCGAGCGUUAUCCGGAUUUAUUGGGUUUAAAGGGAGCGUAGGUGGAUUGUUAAGUCAGUUGUGAAAGUUUGCGGCUCAACCGUAAAAUUGCAGUUGAAACUGGCAGUCUUGAGUACAGGAGAGGUGGGCGGAAUUCGUGGUGUAGCGGUGAAAUGCAUAGAUAUCACGAAGAACUCCGAUUGCGAAGGCAGUUCACUGGACUGCAACUGACACUGAGGCUCGAAAGUGUGGGUAUCAAACAGGAUUAGAUACCCGUGUAGUC
rnacentral:rRNA from 1 species